ensembl:snRNA U6 U6 spliceosomal RNA
GUACUUGCUUUUGCAGCACAUAUACUAAAUGGAAUGAUACAGAGAUGAUUAGCAUGGCUCCUGUGCAAGCAUGACAUGCACAUUCAUGAAGUGUUCCAUAUUUUU